ACAUGGAGAAGGGCGAGCCGGGUCGGCGAGGGGAAGGGGGAGGAGAUGAAGCCGCGGGGACGUAAAGUUUCAGUCUUCAGCAGGCGGGGUAGCUGCUCCCCAGGGCUGAAGCCAGUUCCCGCUGCCUCCGCUGAGGGGGCGCGGAGCCCUUCAGCAUCGCGGUCAGCAGCCGCGCCUCCCGCCACUCGCAACAGGGACAGCCACGCUCACAGACAAUGGCGAGGGUGUGGAUGUCGCAACGGCCUCGGCCCCUCAGUGUAUUUCGGCUACAGGGGCUGGCUGACGGGUGCGCUAAGCUGAACUGAGGAGGCACCUACCGUGAUAGCAGUCAAGUACCCAAUGUAGCUCCUUCCACAGCGGCCAAGAAACUGUUGGCAAUUAUGCUGUACAAUAGGGAAAAGUGGUAUGUGGGCCACGUCUCUUUGAAGCCUUCAUGUCAAAAUUGGGAAGGAAAUCCUAACUUUUUCCGGGCCUUCUUCUGUCCCACUUUUACACUGUUCACAGCUCUCACCCUAUGCUCCAAUAAGCAGGAUAUCUGUAAAGCUGACGUGUAAAUUAAGUCUCACAGGUGACAUUUUGCAUCUCCUUUUUAUUAAGUGUGAAAACAUUGAAAUAUAAGGCCUACUAGUUUCUGUAUGGAGUAGGUAUUUCUCAUAGUAAUGAGAAAAUGUGUGAAAUGAAUGUAAAGAAUAUAAAAAUGAGUGUAAUACAUAUAAAAAUUAGUGUGUAUAUAAAAAUGUAGGUAUAUGAAAAUGAGUGUAAAUAUAUAAAUUAUGUAUAAAAAUUAAAAUUUUAUGUUCAUCGUCCCCGAAUUUUGAGAGUUCUAUGCAGUUUUGUUUACAGCCACGAUGAUCAAGGGUUAUAACGUGCAUUUUUAUCUGUUAGCUUGUUAACAUGAAGGGUGAUGACUAAUUCAGAAAAAUGCUAGGUCAUCUCUGCUUCCUGUCAGCCUGUGAAAAGAAUCACCGGUCUGGGAGAAUGACAUCACUUUUGCUACAAAAUUUCAAAUUUCAUUUGUGUUCUCUUUGGAAUACAGUUUGGCACUUAUAGGUUGCUUUACCACUUAAUUUCCUUUUGCAUUAUGCUUUGUACAUUGUAUACAAAAAAGUAUUGUGAUUCAUGUCUUGAAUAGAGUAUUAUAAUGAUUCCUUAAAUUGUAAAUUAUAACUGUUUUGUCAGGCUGUGAAUUUAGUUCUGCUUUCAUCAAAACCAAGCAAGCCAACAAACCUCUCAACAAUAACAGUCUGAAAAAUAAAUGUUGAUACAGUGAGGAAAUCUCA
rnacentral:lncRNA from 14 species